AAUUUAUGGGAUCGGGGUUUAAAAGGUAAAUUUUGGAUUGAUGCUGAAAAUUAUAUGGGGAGGAGGGACCAAAAGUGUAAUUUUGGCAGGGUAGUUUAGUUUGGAGUUACGGGAUAUAUCUGAUCCCUCAUUUUCUCGUCAAAGGGGGCAGCCAAAGAACCCAAACCCUAGAUCAUGAUUUCCACAGCCUUCCUGACCCUUUGAGACUCCUUCUCCGUCCCUUCUUCUUACUGUUUGCCGCCGCCGCCCUCUCGUUUUGUUUUCUCGAUCAGCAAGGCUGCUAGCGACGUUUCUACGACCGAAAUUCGAGGGCUGCCGAGAAACCAACGAAGCGUGACUGUUGCUACCUUGCUGUUGUGACUCCGACGAAUGGACGAGACCGACACAGCCGCCUCCCUCCAUCCUUCUUCCUCUUCUGUUCGCCGAUAUCUUGCCGCCAAGGGGCCGCCGCCGUGGUUCCUGCCGCGCCAUUGAAGACCCAGCCGAGUCCAGCUCCGCCAUAGCCGGAUGAUGGCGCUGCUCUCUUUCUCUCUCUCUCUCUCUCUCUCUCUCUCUCUUCUCUCUCUCUCUCUCUCUCUCUCUCUCUCUCUCUCUCUCUCCUUCCUCCUUCGUUCUACCGCCGUUGUUGUUGCCCAUUUCUUGUGCUGCUGCUGUUGCAACCCACCUCAGUGGGUGCUGGGUUCAUUUUUCGGGCAUAUGGAUGUAUAUUCAUGUACUGUGAUGGGACAAGGCUGCCGAAGUGUCCCUUGGCCGAAGAUCCGAAGAACAAAACCCCACCGCCACCACCGUAGGGUGGUGGCUGCCACCGUAGGGUGAUGGCUGCCACCGUGUAUAGCCGCCUGCCGCCACAAGGUGGCUAUGUGUGUGUGUGUUAUUUUAUGAGUGUGUGGGUUAUUAGAUGUUAUUGUAAAAUUGUACUGUAAUAGAAUAGGAAUAAUGAAAAGAAAAGCUCAAACCACCACCGUAGGGUGGUGGCUGUUGCCUCCUGCCGCCAUCGGCCGGCGUGUCAGGUGGCGGUGUGCCUUGUUUGGUUUGUGACUCGUUUGUAUGUUUGGACAAGGGACUACUAAACCCUAAUGGGCCAAAAAGAAAACCCUAGUGGGCCCAAUGAGAGCUUAAUGGGCCCAAUAAAGCCAUAAUGGACCUAAAAGCCCAACAAAUUGAUAAAUAGGCUAGUAAUUGGGUUGGAAACCCUAAUUAGGGUUUGGAAAACCCUAAUGCCAAUAAAACCCUAAUUUUGAGAAUUAAUCGAGACACACACACGAGAAUUAUUUAAUAGUUUGAAAUAUUAAAUAAUAAUCAUUGGAAAAGAUUAAUCUAAGCAAUAUUGGAUUUAGUGGAUUAAGUCCUUAAUGGAUUAAGCCUUAAUGGGUUAAGUAAGAAACACUUAACCCUAAUCGUCAUUUCAUGUGGAAACCCUAAUUCCACUUGGGCCUUGAGUUGGGCCUUCUUUUUUUGGGCUUUGGUGAUUGGACUAUUAAUGGGCUUUUCAAGAAUAAGUAAAUGGACUAAAUAAUUGUAUGGGUUUUAGGAUAAGGCCCAUGUGAGAGUCUUGGGCCCAAUUUGGAAAUUUGGACCAUAGAUGGGCCAUAACUGGGCCUUUAUGAUUAUGUGAUAUUAGGCCAUAUGUUGGGCUUUGGCCCAUUGGUUGACUAUUGGGCCUUUGGAGUGUGAGUUGGACCUUGGGCUUGGAACCCAAUUAUUAAUUUGGUGUUGUUUAAUGUUGAUACCUUGGGAAUCUGUCAACCAGCAACUGGAGUCUUGUCUGCGGGACUUCAGCAGUGCGCCAGGUGCAUCAGGGGAUCGUGACAAGGCAAAUGCGUGAUCGUACAACUACUCACUUUUUAUGACUUUAUUUCUAGGAUACUCUGAUAUUAAACUGUUUUGAAAACAUUUUUUGUAAUGACUAAUGGGUUUUGAAUUGUUUUAAAAGUUUUAAAUUGGCUUGAAAUUUUUGGGUGUUACAGUAAAUCUGGAUUUAUUCCUAAAUUAUAACUGUUUACAAGUUCGUCUCCGCCGUGUCUGACCAACCUCUAGGAAGGUACCCUCGGCCGCCUAUGACGGAGGACUUUUUUCAUCUUCUCUUAAGAAUUUCUCUGAUAAGAACAGGCUAAACAAAAAGAAAA